UACGUAGGGGGCAAGCGUUGUCCGGAUUUAUUGGGCGUAAAGAGCGUGUAGGCGGCUUUACAGGUCCGUUGUGAAAACUCGAGGCUCAACCUCGAGACGCCGGUGGAAACCGUAAAGCUAGAGUCCGGAAGAGGAGGGUGGAAUUCCUGGUGUAGCGGUGAAAUGCGCAGAUAUCAGGAGGAACACCGGUGGCGAAGGCGGUUCUCUGGGCAUGACCUGACGCUGAGGAGCGAAAGUGUGGGGAGCGAACAGG
rnacentral:rRNA from 1 species